rnacentral:lncRNA from 1 species
CAGUACUGGCCGGCCGAGCGCUCUGCCCGCUACCAGUACUUUGUGGUAGAUCCGAUGGCAGAAUACAACAUGCCUCAGUAUAUCCUGCGAGAGUUCAAGGUCACAGAUGCCCGGAUGGCCAGUCCCGGACUGUCCGGCAGUUCCAGUUCACAGACUGGCCGGAACAGGGUGUGCCAAAGUCGGGGGAGGGCUUCAUCGACUUCAUUGGCCAAGUGCAUAAGACUAAGGAGCAGUUUGGCCAGGACGGCCCCAUCUCUGUCCACUGC